rnacentral:rRNA from 1 species
UACAGAGGUCUCAAGCGUUGUUCGGAUUCAUUGGGCGUAAAGGGUGUGUAGGUGGCGCCGUAAGUCGGGUGUGAAAUCUCGGGGCUUAACUCCGAAACUGCAUUCGAUACUGCGGUGCUUGAGGACUGGAGAGGAGACUGGAAUUCAUGGUGUAGCAGUGAAAUGCGUAGAGAUCAUGAGGAAGACCAGUGGCGAAGGCGGGUCUCUGGACAGUUCCUGAUACUGAGACACGAAGGCCAGGGGAGCAAACGGG